rnacentral:lncRNA from 1 species
CAAAUUCCUGGAAAAAAGUAUCAGAAUUCAGUUAUUUUCCCUUUUAUAUUUAAUUAAUUUUACAACGAUACCUCGUAAUGGGUUGCUAGUAAUCGGUAACCUUCACUCAGUAAUAGGAAAUUAAUUGCAGCAUAUAUCUGGUCGUGUGGGAAUUCUAUGAAGAUACUUCAGGAAGUUGGUCAUAAUGACCAAGCUUUGGGGAACCAGGAACCCAUCCGGGUCCAUAAAAGAUUGCUUUAAGCUUAUUGGUCAAUCCUGACAUGGAUUGCAUUUUUUGGAAGACUUUCCGCAGGUAAAAUGGAUUAAAGGAGUCCACUUGCUCAAUCAAUCCGUAAACUAAAGGUUCGUCCCUUCGCUCGGGUUCAAAAGUUCCAAACAUUCUAUCCCAGAUAAUGAGAACACCUGCGUAAUUUUUAUCCACACAAUAACGGGUUGAUCCUAGAUCGUGUAAGGUGGUAAAUUUACACUCGUCAACAAUUUAAAGGUAUUUGUAAAUACCAUGAUGCACACGAUGAUGUGAAGGAGUAUUUAAAAUCCAUUCAAGCGGACCAAGGUCAUCGAUAACUUCCGUGUGAAUCCAGAAUUGAAAUAGAAGAUUAAAUUGAGAGUGAACGAAGAAUUGACUCGGAGGAAUGAAAAACGCCAUUGGCAGGCUUAUACCAUGAGUUGCACGGUGAGCCCAGUAAUAUCCUAAAUCCAUCCCUAUAGCGCAAGCAACCCAUGUCCACAAUGAAUCCCAGGGAAGCUCAUAUAUGCGGUAGUACUCGUAAAUGUAAACAUACGCAGCAGUAGUAGCGCCUCUCAAGGCAAUACUAUUUAAAAAGACCGUUUGAAAUCUUGGGAAAACAACAAAACAUGUGGUGAUUUGCCUUUUUUACGCAGUAUAAUUCGUUCAAUUACAAUCAGAGCAAAAAACCACGUUGAGGCCUGCAAGUUAAUGAUACAAUAUGAGUAACUUACCCGACUAACAUAAUGAGGCACCUCAUCCGUGGUUCGAAAACUUGUCUAAAAGUUGCAAGAAAACCAUUAACUUUGUUCUACAAUUCUACCUUGAACUAUCCCUAACCUGAAAAGGAUUAACAAUAUAAAAAAGGUGACCUAAGCCUUCGAAUGCCUCCGAAAUGAAAUCCAUGAACGGUAGAAAUCUGCUGGUUCAACGUUUAUGCAACUCAAUUCUUUUCUGAAUCCCAACCGCGAUUCUCAGUGAUCAAAAGGCGUCCUUAAAUACCAUCGCAUGUUUUUGUUUAUCAGCUACUUUUGAGAUAAGACCAAUAGAAGCCAAAGUUCAAUAAAUAUCAAUCAUCCGUC